rnacentral:rRNA from 1 species
GACGUAGGGCGCGAGCGUUGUCCGGAUUUAUUGGGCGUAAAGAGCUCGUAGGCGGCUUGUCGCGUCGAAUGUGAAAACUCGGGGCUCAACCCCGCGCUUGCAUUCGAUACGGGCAGGCUCGAGUUCGGUAGGGGAGACUGGAAUUCCUGGUGUAGCGGUGGAAUGCGCAGAUAUCAGGAGGAACACCGAUGGCGAAGGCAGAAUCUCUGGGCCGUAACUGACGCUGAGGAGCGAAAGCGUGGGGAGCGAACAGG